GUUUUAAUAGUUUAAAAAAAACAUUGGUUUUGUAAACCAAAUUUAAGAUUAAUCUUUUAAAACU
rnacentral:tRNA from 1 species